UACGUAGGGGGCAAGCGUUGUCCGGAAUCAUUGGGCGUAAAGAGCGUGUAGGCGGCUCGGUAAGUCCGCUGUGAAAGUCCAGGGCUCAACCCUGGAAUGCCGGUGGAAACUGUCGAGCUAGAGUCCGGAAGAGGCGAGUGGAAUUCACGGUGUAGCAGUGAAAUGCGUAGAUAUCGUGAGGAAGACCAGUGGCGAAGGCGGAUCUCUGGACAGUUCCUGACGCUGAGGCGCGAAGGCCAGGGGAGCAAACGGG
rnacentral:rRNA from 1 species